rnacentral:rRNA from 1 species
CAGUGAAUUUUUCAACGGCCGCGGUACUCUGACCGUGCAAAGGUAGCAUAAUCAUUUGCCUUAUAAUUGAAGGCUUGUAUGAAUGGUUUGACAAGAAUAUAGCUGUCUCUUUAUAAUUAAAUAGAAUUUUAUUUAUAGGUGAAGAAGCCUAUAUAGUAUUGAAAGACAAGAAGACCCUAUCGAGCUUGAAAGAAGUUAAUAAAUUUUACUGUUUAAUAUAAUAUAAAAAAUUAAUUAUUAAAAAUUUUGGUUGGGGCGACUAAGGAACAAAUAAAGCUUCCUUUAUUUUAGUAAUACAACCAAGUGAGGAUCCAAAAACUUUGAUUAAAGGAAUUAGUUACCGUAGGGAUAACAGCAUUAUCUUUUUUGAGAGCUCUAAUCGAAAAAAAGGUUUGUGACCUCGAUGUUGGACCAAAAUAUCCUAAAGAUGCAGCCGUCUUUAAGGGUUGGUCUGUUCAACCAUUAAAAUUCUACGUGAUCUGAGUUCAGACCGGCGUGAGCCAGGUCAGUUUCUAUCUUCAAUUUUUAAAAUAAGUUUAGUACGAAAGGACCAAUUUAUUACAAAAUAUUUGUUUUAUCUAGAUGAAAUAUAAAGAAAAAUUAAAUAAAUU